GGGGGCGCACUGGUUUCGACGGGGAUGUGAACACCGUAAACCGCGGGCCGAGGCGCCGCUGGCCUCGUAAAAAGCGGCAACCAAAGUAAUUGGCAACGAUUACGAAUACGCUUACGCUGCUUAAUUAAGCAGUGCCGGUUCCCACACCGACGCCUGAUAAGCGUGGGCACCGGACAACCCUAUCAGGCUGGCAUCCAAUGACGCCAACCGCAAAGGAUGUAAGAACGUAAGGUAGGCUGGCCCCCGGACGCCCUGAUUGAAGGCCACCCCGGGGGUAAGAAAGCAAUUUCAAUCUACGCCCGUAGACGUUCCGGCAGACGCUUCUCGGACGCGAGUUCGAUUCUCGCCGCCUCCACCA
rnacentral:tmRNA from 1 species